UACGAAGGGGGCUAGCGUUGUUCGGAUUUACUGGUCGUAAAGCGCGUGUAGGCGGGGCGUUAAGUUGGGGGUGAAAUCCCGGAGCUCAACACCGGAACUGCCUUCAAAACUGGCGACCUGGACUCAAGCAGAGGCAAGUGGAAUUGCGAGUGUAGAGGUGAAAUUCGUAGAUAUUCGCAGGAACACCAGUGGCGAAGGCGACUUGCUGGGCUUGUAGUGACGCUGAGACGCGAAAGCGUGGGGAGCAAACAGG
rnacentral:rRNA from 1 species